rnacentral:rRNA from 1 species
GAUGAACGCUGGCGGCGUGCCUAAUACAUGCAAGUCGAGCGAAUGGAUUAAGAGCUUGCUCUUAUGAAGUUAGCGGCGGACGGGUGAGUAACACGUGGGUAACCUGCCCAUAAGACUGGGAUAACUCCGGGAAACCGGGGCUAAUACCGGAUAACAUUUUGAACCGCAUGGUUCGAAAUUGAAAGGCGGCUUCGGCUGUCACUUAUGGAUGGACCCGCGUCGCAUUAGCUAGUUGGUGAGGUAACGGCUCACCAAGGCAACGAUGCGUAGCCGACCAGAGAGGGUGAUCGGCCACACUGGGACUGAGACACGGCCCGGACUCCUACGGGAGGCAGCAGUAGGGAAUCUUCCGCAAUGGACGAAAGGCUGACGGAGCAACGCCGCGUGAGUGAUGAAGGCUUUCGGGUCGUAAAACUCUGUUGUUAGGGAAGAACAAGUGCUAGUUGAAUAAGCUGGCACCUUGACGGUACCUAACCAGAAAGCCACGGCUAACUACGUGCCAGCAGCCGCGGUAA